GAUGAACGCUGGCGGCGUGCCUAAUACAUGCAAGUCGAGCGAACGGACGAGAAGCUUGCUUCUCUGAUGUUAGCGGCGGACGGGUGAGUAACACGUGGAUAACCUACCUAUAAGACUGGGAUAACUUCGGGAAACCGUAGCUAAUACCGGAUAAUAUUUUGAACCGCAUGGUUCAAAAGUGAAAGACGGUCUUGCUGUCACUUAUGGAUGGAUCCGCGCUGCAUUAGCUAGUUGGUAAGGUAACGGCUUACCAAGGCAACGAUGCAUAGCCGACCUGAGAGGGUGAUCGACCACACUGGAACUGAGACACGGUCCAGACUCCUACGGGAGGCAGCAGUAGGGAAUCUUCCGCAAUGGGCGAAAGCCUGACGGAGCAACGCCGCGUGAGUGAUGAAGGUCUUCGGAUCGUAAAACUCUGUUAUUAGGGAAGAACAUAUGUGUAAGUAACUGUGCACAUCUUGACGGUACCUAAUCAGAAAGCCACGGCUAACUACGU
rnacentral:rRNA from 1 species